GGCUCUGUGACGCCACGGUAGCGCAUCUGACUCCAGAUCAGAAGGUUGUCAGUCCGAAUCGGGCCGGGGUCA
rfam:Perkinsus marinus ATCC 50983 gcontig_1104296095535, whole genome shotgun sequence.